rnacentral:rRNA from 1 species
GGAGUUAGCCGGUGCUUCUUCUGUGAGUGAUGUCCUUCCUGCCGGCUAUUAACCCGCAGGCCUUCUUCCUCACUGAAAGUGCUUUACAACCCGAAGGCCUUCUUCACACACGCGGCAUGGCUGGAUCAGGGUUGCCCCCAUUGUCCAAUAUUCCCCACUGCUGCCUCCCGUAGGAGUCUGGGCCGUGUCUCAGUCCCAGUGUGGCUGAUCAUCCUCUCAGACCAGCUACGGAUCGUCGCCUUGGUGAGCCGUUACCUCACCAACCAGCUAAUCCGACAUAGGCUCAUCCGAUAGCGCGAGGCCCGAAGGUCCCCCGCUUUCCCCCGUAGGGCGUAUGCGGUAUUAGCCUGGGUUUCCCCAGGGUUACUCCCCCACUACCGGGCAGAUUCCUAUGCAUUACUCACCCGUCCGCCGCUCGCCACCAGGGAGCAAGCUCCCCGUGCUGCCGCUCGACUUGCAUGUGUUAGGCCUGCCGCCAGCGUUCAAUCUGAGCCAGGAUCAAACUCUGA